UGGGGAAUCUUGGACAAUGGGCGAAAGCCUGAUCCAGCCAUGCCGCGUGUGUGAAGAAGGUCUUCGGAUUGUAAAGCACUUUAAGUUGGGAGGAAGGGCAGUAACCUAAUACGUUUCUGUCUUGACGUUACCGACAGAAUAAGCACCGGCUAACUCUGUGCCAGCAGCCGCGGUAAUACAGAGGGUGCAAGCGUUAAUCGGAAUUACUGGGCGUAAAGCGCGCGUAGGUGGUUUGUUAAGUUGGAUGUGAAAUCCCCGGGCUCAACCUGGGAACUGCAUUCAAAACUGACAAGCUAGAGUAUGGUAGAGGGUGGUGGAAUUUCCUGUGUAGCGGUGAAAUGCGUAGAUAUAGGAAGGAACACCAGUGGCGAAGGCGACCACCUGGACUGAUACUGACACUGAGGUGCGAAAGCGUGGGGAGCAAACAGGAUUAGAUACCCCGGUAGUCCCUGAGCGGGCUGGCAAGGCGCAU
rnacentral:rRNA from 1 species